rnacentral:rRNA from 1 species
AUUGAACGCUGGCGGCAGGCCUAACACAUGCAAGUCGAGCGGAUGAAGGGAGCUUGCUCCUGGAUUCAGCGGCGGACGGGUGAGUAAUGCCUAGGAAUCUGCCUUGUAGCGGGGGAUAACGUCCGGAAACGGGCGCUAAUACCGCAUACGUCCUGAGGGAGAAAGUGGGGGAUCUUCGGACCUCACGCUAUCAGAUGAGCCUAGGUCGGAUUAGCUAGUUGGUGGGGUAAAGGCCUACCAAGGCGACGAUCCGUAACUGGUCUGAGAGGAUGAUCAGUCACACUGGAACUGAGACACGGUCCAGACUCCUACGGGAGGCAGCAGUGGGGAAUAUUGGACAAUGGGCGAAAGCCUGAUCCAGCCAUGCCGCGUGUGUGAAGAAGGUCUUCGGAUUGUAAAGCACUUUAAGUUGGGAGGAAGAGCAGUAAGUUAAUACCUUGCUGUUUUGACGUUACCAACAGAAUAAGCACCGGCUAACUUCGUG